AGCUGGCGGCGUGCUUACACAUGCAAGUCUAGCGAGAACCAGGGCUUCGGCCCUGGGGAUACCGGCGAACGGGUGAGUAACACGUGGAUAACCUGCCCUCGGCACCGGGAUAGCCCGAGGAAACUCGGAUUAAUACCGGAUAGCCUUUCCGACUCUCGGGUCGGUUCGAAAAGGUAGCUUCGGCCUCUGGCCGGGGAUGGGUCCGCGGCGGAUUAGCUUGUUGGUGGGGUAAUGGCCUACCAAGGCUCCGAUCCGUAGCUGGUCUGAGAGGACGAUCAGCCACACUGGGACUGAGACACGGCCCAGACUCCUACGGGAGGCAGCAGUGGGGAAUCUUGCGCAAUGGACGAAAGUCUGACGCAGCGACGCCGCGUGCGGGAGGAAGCUCUUCGGGGUGUAAACCGCUGUUGCCCGGAACGAAACGCCAGAUUCGUCUGGCUUGACGGUACCGGGUGAGGAAGCGCCGGCUAACUCUGUGCCAGCAGCCGCGGUAAUACAGAGGGCGCGAGCGUUGUCCGGAAUCACUGGGCGUAAAGGGCGCGUAGGUGGCCACUAUAAGGCCGCGGUGAAAGUUCGGGGGCUCAACCCUGAAUCUGCCGCGGCGACUGUUAGGGCUUAGGGUCACCGUAAAAGCAGAU
rnacentral:rRNA from 1 species